rnacentral:rRNA from 1 species
GUUUAUGGUAUUAGACCCGAAACCGGGUGAUCUACCCAUGGUCAGGUUGAAGGUUGGGUAAAACCAACUGGAGGACCGCACCAACCGUCGUUGAAAAGGCGGUGGAUGAACUGUGGGUAGGGGUGAAAGGCCAAACAAACCCGGAGAUAGCUGGUUCUCUCCGAAACAUAUUUAGGUAUGGCCUCAGGUUGACAUUAACGGAGGUAGAGCACUGAAUGGGCUAGGGGACUUACAGGUUUACUGAACCCAAUCAAACUCCGAAUGCCGUUAAUCAAUACCUGGGAGACAGGGCGUGAGGGAUAAGCUUCACGUGCGAGAGGGGAACAACCCAGACUGUCAGCUAAGGUCCUCAAAUAGAUGCUUAGUGCGUAAGGAUGUUCAAUUGCCCAGACAGCCAGGAUCUUGGCUUAGAAGCAGCCAUGAUUUAAAGAGUGCGUAACAGCUCACUGGUCGAGUGGUAGAGCACCGAAGAUGAUCGGGACUUCAAGCAUCUUACCGAAGCUGCGGAGCAUCGCGCAAGCGUUGCUGGUAGGAGAGCGUUGUGAUUGCGCCGAAGGUGUCCUGUGAGGGAUGCUGGAGUGAUCGCAAGAGACCAUGUCGGCAUGAGUAACGACAAUGCGGGCGAGAAACCCGCACACCACAAGCCCGAGGUUUCCUGAGUAAAGUUAAUCUUCUCAGGGUUAGUCGGCCCCUAAGGUAUAGCCGUAUGGCGAAGCUGAUGGGAGCCAGGUUAAUAUUCCUGGACCUGUGUGUUGAGCGAUGGAGUGACGCGACGGUGCAGUGGAGACGGCUGUUGGAAUAGCCGUUGAGUGCAUGUAGGAGGUGGCACAGGCAAAUCCGUGCCACACAUACUCCGAGGUGCAGGACGAGGAGCAAUCCGCAAAGUCCAUGUAUAUACGUCGCCGAGAAAUAGCUUCUAAGCAUAUCAGCAUACAGACCGUACCGCAAACCGACACAGGUGGGCGAGGAGAGUAUCCUAAGGUGUUCGAGCGAACUCUGGUUAAGGAACUAGGCAAAAUAACCCCGUAACUUCGGGAGAAGGGGUGCCCCGUUAUCGUGAUAGAGCGCAUCUGGAGCGAGAGGGGGCCGCAGCGAAUAGGCCCAAGCGACUGUUUAUCAAAAACACAGGUCUAUGCGAAGGCGCAAGCCACAGUAUAUAGACUGACACCUGCCCGGUGCCGGAAGGUUAAAUGGAGAGGUCAUCCCUUUCGGGGGAGAAGCUUCGAAAUGAAGCCCCGGUAAACGGCGGCCGUAACUAUAACGGUCCUAAGGUAGCGAAAUUCCUUGUCGGGUAAGUUCCGACCUGCACGAAUGGUGUAACGAUUUGGGCGCUGUCUCAACCAGGGGCUCGGUGAAAUUGAAGUAGCGGUGAAGAUGCCGCUUACCCGCGAACGGACGGAAAGACCCCGUGAACCUUUACUGCAGCUUGGCAUUGUAAAUUGGUGCAGUAUGUGUAGGAUAGGUGGGAGGCUAUGAAGCGUGCACGCUAGUGUGUGUGGAGCCGUCGUUGAAAUACCACCCUUAUUGUAUUGGUUUACUAACGAUAGAUUAUCUAUCGGACAUUGCCAGGUGGGCAGUUUGACUGGGGCGGUCGCCUCUGAAAAGGUAACAGAGGCUUACCAAGGUUCCCUCCGGCUGGUUGGUAAUCAGCCACAGAGCGUAAAGGUAUAAGGGAGCUUAACUGCGAGACUGACGGGUCGAGCAGGUGGGAAACCAGGUCUUAGUGAUCCGGCGGUCCUGAAUGGAAGGGCCGUUGCUCAAAGGAUAAAAGGUACUCCGGGGAUAACAGGCUGAUACCGCCCAAGAGUUCAUAUCGACGGCGGUGUUUGGCACCUCGAUGUCGGCUCAACUCAUCCUGGGGCUGAAGAAGGUCCCAAGGGUUCGGCUGUUCGCCGAUUAAAGAGUUACGCGAGCUGGGUUCAGAACGUCGUGAGACAGUUCGGUCCCUAUCCUUCGUGGGCGCAGGAAAUUUGAGGAGAUCUGCAUUUAGUACGAGAGGACCGGUGUGGACGAACCUCUGGUGUACCGGUUGUGAUGCCAAUUGCAUUGCCGGGUAGCCACGUUCGGUGAGGAUAACCGCUGAAAGCAUCUAAGCGGGAAGCCAACUCCAAGAUAAGAUUUCCCUACAGACAGGUUGGAGACUACAACCUUGAUAGGUCACAGGUGUAAGCGCGGCAACGCGUUCAGCCGAGUGAUACUAAUCAGUCGAUUGGCUUUCAC